AUGUGGAAAUGUAAGUAUUGCAUUUUUGACUCUGCAAAAAGAGGGGAACUUCUCAAACAUUAUCGUUUGAAACAUGGUGGUCAUGCAAAAACUGUACCCUUUCCAUGCCUACACAAUGACUGUCUUUGUACGUUCAACUCCAUUAGUAGUUUAAAAGUUCAUCUGGCAAAAAUUCAUACAAAAAGACAAUUGGGACACGAUCAGGAAAUAGCACCACUUACAUUUACUUGUCAGCAUUGUGAAUUUUCUGAGCCCGUCCAAGAAGCAGAUUUUCUAAAGCAUUUGCGUAGUAGACAUUUGAGUAAAAAUCAAAAGAUACAGUGUCCCUACAAACAUUGCAAGUUUCAAAGCAGUGUUUAUGCGACCUUUAAUGCUCAUAUAUGUAAGAAACAUAGUGAACAUAACUGGAGAAUGCUAAAGCCAGAAAUAGUUUCUGGCCAAAGUGACAAGAAUGAGAGUGAAGGACAAGAACAUAUUUAUUUUGAAGAGAUUGAAACAGAGGAUACUGAAGGUGACUCGGCUGAUUCUGCUGAUGUAACUCAUUCUGAUUUAGCAAAUCAGUUGGAACACAAUUUGGCUGGCCUUUUUUUAAAGAUGCAAAGCCUUCUUCAUAUUCCGGCAAGUUCUAUUCAAGAAAUCGUUCAGCAGUUGAAUCAGAUACAUGCAUUGUCUCUGCCACUGUUGAACAAAACUAUUUCAAGUGUCCUGAAGAGGUGUCUUCCAGAUGUUGAUGAGUCCCUUAUUGCAGAGGUGGUAAAUGCUGUUUCAGAAAGCAAUGUUUUUUCCAAAUGCUGUGACUCUGGUGGAUGCUUGUCAACAAUUAAAAGAAGAAACUCCUAUGUUUUAGCUGAGUUUCCUUUGGUUAUGCCAGUAGAAUACAUGAUUGAUAGGGAAACAAAACCUGUUGUAUAUGUACCAAUCCUACCUAUGCUACAGAAAAUGUUAAACAAGCCAGACAUUUUGGACAAAGCACUUUCAGUGCCAGAAUCUGAACCCAUUAUGUACAGUGCUUACAAUGAUGGUCACUACUUCAAAGACAAUAGCCUUCUCAACAGUGAAGAAUUUCGAAUAGCUCUAGGAUUCUAUGUCGAUGACUUUGAGGUAGCCAAUCCGUUAGGGACAUCCAGAGGUAAACACAAAAUUUGUGCAGUUUACUGGGUGUUGGCGAACAUACCUGUAAAACAUAGGUCAAUGUUACGAUCCAUCCAACUUGGUCUUCUCUGUAAUGCUGGUACAGUAAAGGAGUAUGGCUAUGAAAAAGUCAUGCAACCACUUGUUAAGGACCUUGUUAAUUUGGAGCAGACUGGUUUAUUCAUUGAUCAGUUGGGAGCAACUGUGAAAGGGACUGUCCUAUAUGUUUCAGCUGAUAACCUUGGUGCUCAUUCUAUGGCAGGAUUCCUUGAGGGUUUUACUGCGGAGAGAUUCUGCCGUUUUUGCAUGGGAACAAGAACUGAGGUUCAGCACACAGAGGUAGGUUCCAGCAACUUUGAAACUCGCACUAAAGACACUCAUGACAGGCAUGUUAAGGAGGUAAAGCAGGAUCCUUCUUUGAGUAAGCUGUAUGGAGUGAGAGGAAGCUGUCCACUUACUGAUGCUUUGCAACAUUUUCAUGCUGUCACUGGCUACCCACCAGAUAUUUUACAUGACCUACUAGAGGGCAUUGUGCCAGCUGAACUCUGUCUCUGCCUUUCAGAGAUGAUUGAAAAGAAAUACAUCUCUCUCGAGUCAGUGAACCAUGCAAUUAAGAACUUUGCUUACACUUUCUCUGAUAAAACUAACAGACCUCAGCAAAUUCCAAAGGCUUUUGCCACCAAAGGAACAAUUGGUGGCAAUGGGCACGAAAAUUGGACCUUGCUUAGACUUCUUCCUCUUUUAAUUGGAAAUGAUGUCCCAGAAGGAGAUAAUUCAUGGGAAAUUUUGAUGCUUCUUAAAGAUAUAGUUGAAUUGGCUGUGGCAUCAAAACAUACAGAAGAGUCCAUUGAUUUCUUGAAGUGCAAAAUUACAGAACACAGAGAACUGCUGCAAUCAACAUUCCCUGGUUUUAGAUUGAAACCAAAGCAUCAUUUCAUUGAGCACUACCCCCGGCUGAUUAAAGCCUUUGGCCCACUGUCUGAUGUUUGGACAAUGCGUUUUGAGGGAAAGCACAAAUUUUUCAAAAAAGUAAUUCGGGAAUCUCAAAACUUCAAAAAUGUAGCCCUCACACUGGCUGUCCAACAUCAGAGAAUGAUGGCAUACUAUCUGGAUUCUAGCUCAUUUUUUAGACCGUCAAUUGAAAUGGACAAAGUCAAAACCGCACUGGUUACGUCAUUUCCUGAUCACAUUCAGCAGGCGUUCCAUCAAAUUACACCACAGCUAAAGACAGUGCUGAUUGCUUCCUCUGUGACAGCUUGUGGAAUUGAAUACUGUGCAGAUAUGGUCAUCUCUGCUGGGUCAUGCUCUGGUCUCCCAGAAUUCAAGAUGAUAUCACAGAUUGUAGCAGUGAACUCUGAGAUUCUGUUUCUCUGUAAACAAAUGUCAGCUUGGUACAUUGAGCAUAUUCGGUCAUUCGAACUUUGCAGCAGCCAUGUUACUUCGCUCUGUGUGAUUCAGAUGUCAGAGCUCAAUGAGGUUUUCCCUCUAUCAUGCUACACUGUAAAAGACAGGAUGGUGGUGACACCUAAACGUUAUAUCUUAUGCUAA
ensembl:lncRNA